rnacentral:tRNA from 1 species
UGGGAUGUAGCUCAGUGGCCAGAGCAGUUCUUUCAUACGGAACGGGUCGUUGGUUCGAAUCCAACCAUCCCAA